UGAACUGCUGUGGCCUGGGACUGGGCUUAGAGUACAGGCAGCUGCUGCGGUGAAGGUGUCAGAAGGCACAGGCUAGGGUCCCAGAGAGGUUUAGGAGGGGGUUUCUCUGCUGGGUGUUUGCUCAGUGCUGGAUGGUGGGUGCUGAGGGCCUCAUUUGCAUAGGGAGAGCAGCUGCUGUCCCAGCCACACUGCUGCCCACAAUCUCCACGUGGCUGCAAUCUCGCUCUCAGUCACCAUCUCCCACAUGGACUAGGGGUUACCCAGGCUGCCUUGGCCACGUGCUUCCCCCAACACACAGCCAUCCAGGAACAACCAGAAAUCAGACUACUGUCUCCGCCACCCUCAGGGGUUCCAUUCAGGGAGUCCACCUCCCAAGGUGGCUGUGGGAAUAAAACGAGAUCCUGGGGGAAGCAGAGAGCCCAGUGCACAGGGGUGAUCAGUAACCGGCAGCCCCUUUCCCUGCCUUUCCCUCUACUUCCAACAUUAUGUUGUGAAGAACAGGGCAGACCUGGGCCCAUGCUAUCUCUCACCCUGGCUCUGUGACUUGAGGCAACUCACUCCAACUCUGUAAAUCAACUGCUCAUCUGCAAAACUGGCAAGAAACUGAGAAGGCACUGGUUCUCAGAUUGGCAAAGCUCAUCGUCACUGCCUCACUCCCUCAACUCUAUGUCCAGGGACCACGGGUUUCCCAGGGUUCCCAAACUUGCUGUUGGCAAAGGGCCUGAUAUCCGUCACUGACCUUUUUAUUCUGAAUGGGUCCCCGUUGACUUUAAAGCUGGAAUAUUCUUAGAGGAAUUCUAAACUCCUCCUUUCCAACUCCCUACUCAUUUUACAGAAGGAGAAAGUGAAGAGAAGAGAGGGAGAAGGGCCCUGACCGAGGCCACCAGCUUGUAAGUAGCAGCCCUAGGCUUGGGACCAGGGCCUCCUGAAGGUGACAGUCCUUUCAGCCAUGUGUCCUUGUUCCUCUAGUUACCUCCAAUUAACUCUAGGUAACCCAGCCCAGUCUUUGAUUCUGUGUUGAAAGGUGCGAGGUGCUGGAGCCGGGAAGAGGUGCGUUCUUGCUCUCGACAGGAAGUGUCAUUGGCUCUGCAGCAAGUGCCUCUAGGGACAAGGAACUCACUACCUCCUAGAGUGACACAUGCCCAUUCUUUGAACAAGUGUGACUGCCGGGAAAAAGGUGUACUGCGUACAGCUGUCAAGAAUGCAAAUGCCACUGAGUGUUGGGGGCAUGGGCAGCUCCGGAGCCAUCAACCUGGCCAGUCUUCACAGCCUACCCCAGUGGCAGACCCCCUGAAUCCACCCCAGGGCCCCAGUAAGCCCCCGUGAACCUGUGAACUUUGCAUUUCUAUGCUCAACACUCAGGGUGAGCAGUCCAGAAAAAACAACCCAUGCACAGCAGGUGCUGGGGGUAGUCAGGCUUCAAGAUGCCUCCAAAUGGUUCUCAUCUCUGAGUAUUCACACUGAAUGGAACUGACCUAUGUAACUAACAGGAUGUCGUGGGAAUGACAGGCAUGACUUCCAUGGCUAGGUCAUAAAGAGAUUGUGGCUUCUACCUUGCUCUCUCUUGGACCCCAGUUGCUGGAGGAAGCCAUCUGCCAUGUCAAACAGCCUAUGGAGAUGCCCAUGUGGGGAAGAAUGGAGGUCCCCUGCCAACAAUCAGCUUUGACAUGCCAAGCCUGUGAGGGAGCCAUCUGGAAAGGGAGUCUUCCAGCCCCAAUCAGGCCUUCAGAUGACUGCAGCCCUGGCCAGCUCCUUGACUGCAACCUCAUGACAGACCUUGAGCAAGAACUGCUCAGCUAAGCUGCUUCUGAAUUCUUAACCUACAGAAAUGUCUAAUGCUUUAAGAAGCAAAGUAUGGGGUAAUUUACCACAUGCAAUAGAUAACAAAACCAUGUGCAAUAAAUACUGGUUAAACAAGUGAAUG
rnacentral:lncRNA from 1 species